rnacentral:tRNA from 2 species
GCCGAGAUGGCUCAGUGGCAGAGCAGCUGUUUUGUAAACAGCAGGUCCCGGGUUCGAAUCCCGGUCUCGGCUCAA